rnacentral:rRNA from 1 species
GACGAACGCUGGCGGCGUGCUUAACACAUGCAAGUCGAACGAAGUGGCGAACGGGUGAGUAACGCGUAAUCAACCUGCCCUUCAGUGGGGGACAACAGUUGGAAACGACUGCUAAUACCGCCUACUGACGGAGGGGUAUGCGGCUGAUGAGCUAGUUGGAGGGGUAACGGCCCACCAAGGCGAUGAUCAGUAGCCGGUCUGAGAGGAUGAACGGCAACAUUGGGACUGAGACACGGCCCAGACUCCUACGGGAGGCAGCAGUGGGGAAUCUGCCGCAAUGGACGAAAGUCUGACGGAGCAACGCCGCGUGAGUGAUGACGGCCUUCGGGUUGUAAAGCUCUGUUAAUCGGGACGCGGUACCGGAAUAGAAAGCCACGGCUAACUACGUGCCAGCAGCCGCGGUAAUAC